ACGCUCGACACCUACGGGAGGAAGCAGUCGGGAAUAUUGCGCAAUGGAGGGAAACUCUGACGCAGUGACGCCGCGUGCAGGAAGAAGGUUUUCGGAUUGUAAACUGCUUUAGACAGGGAAGAAGAAGUGACAGUACCUGUAGAAUAAGCUCCGGCUAACUACGUGCAGCAGCCGCGGUAAUCUGAGCGGGCUGGCAAGGC
rnacentral:rRNA from 1 species